AUACGUAGGGUGCAAGCGUUAAUCGGAAUUACUGGGCGUAAAGCGUGCGCAGGCGGUUCGGAAAGAAGGAUGUGAAAUCCCAGGGCUCAACCUUGGAACUGCAUUCUUAACUACCGAACUAGAGUAUGUCAGAGGGGGGUAGAAUUCCGCGUGUAGCAGUGAAAUGCGUAGAUAUGCGGAGGAAUACCGAUGGCGAAGGCAGCCCCCUGGGAUAAUACUGACGCUCAUGCACGAAAGCGUGGGUAGCAAACAGGAUUAGAUACCCUGGUAGUCCACGCCCUAAACGAUGUCAACUAGCUGUUGGGCCCUUCGGGGCUUAGUAGCGUAGCUAACGCGUGAAGUUGACCGCCUGGGGAGUACGGUCGCAAGACUAAAACUCAAAUGAAUUGACGGGG
rnacentral:rRNA from 1 species